UACGUAGGGUCCGAGCGUUUGUCCGGAAUUACUGGGCGUAAAGAGCUCGUAGGUGGUUUGUCGCGUUGUUCGUGAAAACUCACAGCUCAACUGUGGGCGUGCGGGCGAUACGGGCAGACUUGAGUACUGCAGGGGAGACUGGAAUUCCUGGUGUAGCGGUGGAAUGCGCAGAUAUCAGGAGGAACACCGAUGGCGAAGGCAGGUCACUGGGCCGCAACUGACGCUGAGGAGCGAAAGCAUGGGGAGCGAACAGG
rnacentral:rRNA from 1 species